GGCUAGCUCAGUCAGUAGAGCACAAGAUUGGUAAUCUCAGUCGUGGGUUCAAGCCCCAAGUUGGGCA